GCAGCUUCGCGCCGCUCGGGGGUUGCGAGGCUGCUGCUGCUGCGAUGCAGCGGCGGCAGCCAUGCGAACCCCUCCCCAGGGAUGCUGUUUUUAGCGUCCCUGGGAUGCUGUACUCCGCCCGUGCGGAAAAAGACUGAGUCCAGUCUUCCCUCA